AACGAACGCUGGCGGCAGGCCUAACACAUGCAAGUCGAGCGAGGACUUCGGUUCUAGCGGCGGACGGGUGAGUAACGCGUGGGAAUGUGCCCUUCUCUACGGAAUAGCCCUGGGAAACUGGGAGUAAUACCGUAUACGCCCUUUUGGGGAAAGAUUUAUCGGAGAAGGAUCAGCCCGCGUUGGAUUAGGUAGUUGGUGGGGUAAUGGCCUACCAAGCCGACGAUCCAUAGCUGGUUUGAGAGGAUGAUCAGCCACACUGGGACUGAGACACGGCCCAGACUCCUACGGGAGGCAGCAGUGGGGAAUCUUAGACAAUGGGGGCAACCCUGAUCUAGCCAUGCCGCGUGAGUGAUGAAGGCCUUAGGGUUGUAAAGCUCUUUCAGCUGGGAAGAUAAUGACGGUACCAGCAGAAGAAGCCCCAGCUAACUCCGUG
rnacentral:rRNA from 1 species